rnacentral:tRNA from 1 species
GGGUUGUUAGUGUUAACGGGAGCACGUCGGUGUUGCAAGCCGAAAGUCAGGGUUCGAAUCCCUGACGAUCCACCA